GACGAACGCUGGCGGCGUGCCUAAUGCAUGCAAGUCGCACGCACCGAGCUUGCUCGGUGAGUGGCGCACGGCUGAGGAUCACGUGGGAACAUGCCUCCUUGUGGGGGACAACAGCGCGAAAGCGCUGCUAAUCCCGCAUACGCUCGUGCAAACGAGGAAAGCUGGCAACAGCGCAGGGAGAGUGGCCCGCGGCCCAUCAGGGGUUGGUGGGGUAAUGGCCUACCAAGCCGAUGACGGUAGCUGGUCUGUGAGGACAGCCAGCCAGACUGGGACUGAGACACGGCCCAGACUCCUACGGGA
rnacentral:rRNA from 1 species